CUAAUUUAUCCCUUAAAAAUUUGUUUAAACUAGUCCCAUACUGAAACAAAAAAUGGCCCAAAUGAGACACUGUUAGACUCAAGGAUGGGAUGCAGAUUGAGGUCUCUGGUCACUAGGGAUUUGUUUGGCCAGGUUUCCUCAAUGAAUAAUAAUGAAGCACAAUAGGAAAAUGUAAAUGUUAAGUCGCUGAAACUGCAGUACCAGCAGGGGAGAGUCCAGUUGCUGUCCUCAAUUCCUCCAGCAUUGAUAAACAGUCUGCUUGGCUCCUUACAGAUGUUGUCUAUGAAGUCUAGAGUUACAAGUAACUAUUUUCCAGCAUGUAAAGGGAUCCAGUCUUGUCCUUCAAAACAGCUUGGCCGCUUUCCCCAGGAUACAUGUAAUUAAAAAUAUAUAUCCCUGCAAAAGCUGUUUCUCCAACAAAUUGCCACUGAUGUCAGGAUAUGUGCUGUUUCCAAACUGAGAGCUGGAGGAUCAUUUCUUAAGCUUUUAUAACCUAGUUCUAAAGUUCUGAAACUUCCAAAGGGAUAUUUUAGCAGCAACAGGUCUAAUCCCCACCAUCUUUCCAAAACCACAAACCAAGUUUUAAAAUGACCUAUGUAAAAACAUGCACCUAGUAAGUAAGCUGUAUGUCUGUUUAUUAUCUCUCAGAAGUUACAGCCAGAACCACAGAUUUCUUUUCUUUUCUUUUUUUUUUUGAUACGGAGUUUCGCUCCUGUGGCCCAGGCUAGAGUGCAAUGGUGCAAUCCCCGCUCACUGCAACCUCUGCC
rnacentral:lncRNA from 1 species